ACUAGUCACACCCUCCCUCUCUCUGUCACUAGUCACCCCCUCCCUCUCUCUGUCACUAGAGUGAGGGGGUGACUAUUGACAGAGUGAGGGGGUGACUAUUGACAGAGUGAGGGGGGUGACUAGUGAC